rnacentral:lncRNA from 1 species
GAGGCUUAAGAAGAGUGAGACCAAACAUGUAGGCCACAAGAGUGAACGACUAUGUCAACAUCCAGCUUGGGGGAGGCACCCCCAUGUGUAUCUAGAUAAGCAUCACUUUUCUUUCUUGGUUUUAUUUACUAGUAUUCAGAAAUAAAUAAAAAAUGCAUAACCAUAAAACUAAACAAAGUUUUUCUUUUGAGUAAUAUACAAUAGUUUUGUGUAAUCCUAAGUUUUAAAUAAAAUAAAAAGAAAGUUUGAUCCAGUUCUAGGUAAUUGACAAACAUGAUAUG